rnacentral:rRNA from 1 species
AUUGAACGCUGGCGGCAUGCCUUACACAUGCAAGUCGAACGGCAGCACGGGUGCUUGCACCUGGUGGCGAGUGGCGAACGGGUGAGUAAUAUAUCGGAACGUACCUUAUUGUGGGGGAUAACGCAGCGAAAGCUGUGCUAAUACCGCAUAAUCCCUUAGGGGGAAAGCGGGGGACCGUAAGGCCUCGCGCAAUUAGAGCGGCCGAUACCUGAUUAGCUAGUUGGUGAGGUAAAGGCUCACCAAGGCAACGAUCAGUAGCUGGUCUGAGAGGACGAUCAGCCACACUGGGACUGAGACACGGCCCAGACUCCUACGGGAGGCAGCAGUGGGGAAUUUUGGACAAUGGGGGCAACCCUGAUCCAGCAAUGCCGCGUGAGUGAAGAAGGCCUCGGUUGUAAGACUCUUUGUCAGGAGAACAGCAGCUCUAACACAGUCUGCGAAUGACGGUACCGUGAAGAAUAAGACACCGGCUAACUACGUGCCA